AAAUUCUUUCAUAAAAGAAAAACAAAAUCUGACCGAGGUUGCCUGGCCAUUUCCCACAGACAGGGAGGCGCCUUGGCCCCGGGACAAGCAACGCCUGGCCUCUGCUGCAUUCCUUCGCCAUGUUUGCAACCUCCGGGUGCAGGCCAGGCCCUUAGACGUCACUUCCGGUUAGACCUUCUCCCAGCAGGUGGCUUUGCCGUGGAGGGCAUCAACUGAGGCGGUGGGAGGCAGCCGUGCCCCAGGGGCUGGAAAAUGCCAGCUCUAAUACCCAUUUGUGGCAUCUGGGCUUAAGUUCAAAUUCUGCCCACACCCCUGAGGAGCUGGAGAUAGCGUGUGUGUUCUCAGUCUCCUCAGCUCUCCUCUACUCCCUGCAUCCUGGUGGAGAUGUGAUACCUGCUCAGGCAGGGUCUUGGCAGCCAAUGGGUGGCUUAUGCAAACGGAGUAGCCACAGAGGCAGAAUGAAGAUACGGGAGGGAUUGAGGAACCAGCAAGGAAUGGGGGGAGCCAGCGAGGACGAGCGGGAGUGGGAAACCAUUGCCGUGCUGAGGCUGCAGGACCUGGGGCAGGCACUGCUUGGAGACCAGUGAGAGCCGUGGCCCGGGACACCUGCUGUGACCACAGACAUCCAGAGGCAUCAGAAGGGGAGCUGUCCACACAGGAUGAGCCAGACAGGACCAAGCCAGAAGAUGCUCCCUAAAUGAGAUAACCUUCAGUCCCUUUCCCUGCACCUCCCCCACAUGGUGAUUAUGAGAAUUACAAGGAUUAAAUGAGAUAAUAAACACAGAGGACUUGAGCCUGACGCACGAGCCAGGGCCUGGGUGGUGUUACCGUGAGCACUAUUCAAGCGGUAAGUCAAUACUAGUAGUACUGGAGGUGCCAUAUCCUCGCAACACCUGUACUAGUACCGGCAUAAUAUUUUUCUCUAUAUUGAUUGCCCCUCUUUUUUAAAAGCCUAUUUACUGUUCCACUGAAAACACAAGCUUGGUGAGCUUCCUGGGUAAGUGUUCAAACACACAUUAAAAUAAAGGGCCCCCCACGCCAAGCACUGCCCAUCCAUCACCCACGAUUCAAUUACACACUCGGGGAAACCCCGCUGGGUGGAGACAAGGUUCGGUGCCCCGAUGGGGUGGAAAGAAAAGUCCAGGAAGGCUAUGGCAGGUGUCUCCGUGGCCCUGAGCCGGGCGCCCCCUCGCUGCCCGCCCCUGCAGCCCCACACACCUGGGUGGUGCCGGAGAAUGUCACUGGUGUGCUCCAGCACCUCGUAAUACUCCUCCUUCUUCAGCAGGCACUGGCAGUAGUUGAGGGUCAGGGUGUUGAUCAUCUUCUCCAGCUUCAGCCACUGCACCUCCCACGGCUUCUCCUGCCCAGGGAGAAGGUCAGCCAUGACCUCAGGCGGCUGCCCAACCCCCGCCCCACCCUCGCCGGCGCUGGGCAGGUCCCCCAGAGUCAGCCCCACUUCCCACCCAUGGCCAGCGGCCUCUGACCUUGGUCUGCAGGUUCCUUAGGCAGAUGAUGGCCUCCUGGUACUUGGAAGAGGCCUCCUCGUAGCGGCCCAACUUGAAGAGCCGAUUUCCCUCUCCGUGGAGGACGGGCACCACCUUCAUCUUCUCAUGAUUGCUCAGGUUCCAGGUCUCCCUCUGGUAAUCACUCGGGGCGUCAACCUGGCCCCAGAGCUGCAGGUCAGUGAGGCAGGGACCCCAGGGGCCUGCACCCCAUCAGGGACCCGAAAGACUGGACCUUGGCACAGCUCCCUGAAGUCAUGCUUGCUGAUCAAGUGCAUACAGACAAGGGAAAGAAGCGAAAAUGCCAAAAACCCUGCCCUAAAUCCAUGCCUUUGUGCAAACUAGGAAAAGGUGCCCGUUCAUCAAGACACUUCACUUCUAAUAUUCAGAAAAUUGUCGUGAAUACUCAUUUUGUUAGAACAAUACACUAUUGCCAUCUGCUGGAAACUUGUCAUUAUAGAAAUACCGAUGUACGAUGUCUAUAAUGAGCAUAAUGAGCACCUUGGAGGAGAUGCCGGUGCACCUCGUGCAGUGCACAGACCACGCAACUGUGACAGCAAGCCUGUAAAGGCUCUUGGUUGACACAGUUCUUAUUUUAUUUUUAUUCACUCACAUAGCUCUCAGGCUGAGCCUCAGUCUUGGCCAUAAGCUGAAUCCUGACCUGACCUUGACCCUGGCCCUAACCCUCUCUCACCAACCCGCAAACACGCGCUGUCAAUCACUCUGGGGCUGUGGGUGGGAGGAUAUGGGGAGUUCCAUGCAGCCUCUCCCGCUACUAGAGAACCAAGUCUGAACCCACAAACCACAGGAACCGAAGAGGUUAUAAUCUCCAACUCUCGAAAAUGAAAGUGGAAGUAGAUAACAAAUAGAAGUAAAAUGCCUCCAAAAUGAAAACAAAUCACAUUUUUAAAAAGUGGUUCAGCCGGGCGUGGUGGCUCAAGCCUGUAAUCCCAGCACUUUGGGAGGCCGAGA